rnacentral:rRNA from 1 species
AUUGAACGCUGGCGGAAUGCUUUACACAUGCAAGUCGAGCGGCAGCGCGGGGCAACCUGGCGGCGAGCGGCGAACGGGUGAGUAAUGCAUCGGAACAUGUCCAUGGAUGGGGGAUAGCCCGGCGAAAGCCGGAUUAAUACCGCAUGAGCCCGAGAGGGGAAAGUGGGGGACCGCAAGGCCUCACGUCGAUGGGUUGGCCGAUGCCCGAUUAGCUAGUUGGUGAGGUAAUGGCUCACCAAGGCGAUGAUCGGUAGCUGGUCUGAGAGGAUGAUCAGCCACACUGGGACUGAGACACGGCCCAGACUCCUACGGGAGGCAGCAGUGGGGAAUUUUGGACAAUGGGGGCAACCCUGAUCCAGCCAUUCCGCGUGAGUGAAGAAGGCCUUCGGGUUGUAAAGCUCUUUUGUCCGGAGCGAAACGGGGCGCGUGAAUAUCGCGCUCUACUGACGGUACCGGAAGAAUAAGCACCGGCUAACUACGUGCCAGCCGCCGCGGUAA